CCAGGAUGCAGGAGGAAUGUAGCAGAAUGAAUGCAGGCACUGUAGUGGCAGUGAAUGGACUUUAUAAGACUACAUGCAGAGAGAAGACUGGAGCUGAAAAAAAACCCUGAAGAAAUGUUUUUCUGUUAUUGCUUAACAAGAAACAGGCAGCUAAUCAAAAGAAGAUGCAAUGAAAACAAAAAUACACAAAGCCACACAUCUGCUAUCUCAAUAAGAGGAUCAUUCCUUUCUGUGCACCAGGAGAGGCUUCCUCUGGGAAGAAAAGGAAAUUGUAUUUUUAGUUCCAGGCCACAGACCAGAAACUGACUUUGUCACUGACCAACUUUCUACACGAGAUUUGAAACUAGGUUUUGUACCUAAUAAUGCUGCAGCUGUGAUUAAAUCUUGUAUGCAAGAUUAUUAAUGUGCACUUAUCUAAGCCUACAGUGAAGUAUCUGCCAGGGCUUGCUACAGUUCUUUCUUACUCAUUUGUUCAUAUAUAGAAGAUGUAGGUUGUAAUAAUUCUUGAAUAUUAUAGAGGUUUGCUCUUUGAUGGAAGGCAGAGAUGGCCCAUAGGUGAGCUGCUAUAAAGCACAGAAAUCAAAGAACAGUAACAGUAAUGAUUUCCACAGCAAAAAAUAUGUCAAGAGUAAAGGAAAAAAAAAGAAAAAAUAAUGAAAGAGAUGAUCUUCUGGGUUUUUGACCACCUGUAGGGAAAUAUAUCUGGUAUUCCAGACAUAGGGUAUAUGCCUCUUAAGAUCCUGUGUGAUUUUGUUUUCACAAACACAGUUCUGCAUAAUUAUGCUUUGAGAUCAUUCCACGUAACUGUGUAAAUAUUUUCUUCAGUGUACUUUUUU
rnacentral:lncRNA from 1 species